CCUAGGGAGGCAGCAGUGAGGAAUAUUGGUCAAUGGGCGGAAGCCUGAACCAGCCAAGUCGCGUGAGGGAAUAAGGCCCUACGGGUCGUAAACCUCUUUUGCCGGGGAGCAAGGGCCGGGACGCGUCCCGGCCCGGAGAGUACCCGGAGAAAAAGCAUCGGCUAACUCCGUGCCAGCAGCCGCGGUAAUACGGAGGAUGCGAGCGUUAUCCGGAUUUAUUGGGUUUAAAGGGUGCGUAGGCGGAUCGUUAAGUCAGUGGUCAAAUUGAGGGGCUCAACCCCUUCCCGCCAUUGAAACUGGCGCUC
rnacentral:rRNA from 1 species